rfam:Marine metagenome ctg_1101668584604, whole genome shotgun sequence.
UACCUCAUACAGCAAUGUGUGUGGGGAUUAGUGAGAAGUCAGCAGAGGUCAUAGUAGUGAGAGAGAAACUAAUACCAUCUCCCGACUCGGAC